UACGAAGGGGACUAGCGUUGUUCGGAAUCACUGGGCGUAUAGCGCACGUAGGCGGAUAUGUCAGUCAGGGGUGAAAUCCCGGGGCUCAACCUCGGAACUGCCUUUGAUACAGCAUAUCUUGAGUCCGAUAGAGGUGGGUGGAAUUCCUAGUGUAGAGGUGAAAUUCGUAGAUAUUAGGAAGAACACCGGUGGCGAAGGCGGCCCACUGGAUCGGUACUGACGCUGAGGUGCGAAAGCGUGGGGAGCAAACAGG
rnacentral:rRNA from 1 species